rnacentral:tRNA from 1 species
UUGCGCUGCAUCAGAUUGCGUGAUAGCUCAGCUUGAGCCUGAGCAGAUGCCAGAUUGGCCUGCGCUUGUGCUAAACGAGCAGCAUUAUCC